GUUCUUAUAGUUGAAUUACAACGAUGGUUUUUCAUAUCAUUAGUCGUGGUUAAACCCAUGUGAGAAUAA
rnacentral:tRNA from 1 species